rnacentral:rRNA from 1 species
ACGGAAGGCAGCAGUGGGGAAUAUUGCACAAUGGGGGAAACCCUGAUGCAGCGACGCCGCGUGAGUGAAGAGGUAUUUCGGUAUGUAAAGCUCUAUCAGCAGGAAAGAAAAUGACGGUACCUGACUAAGAAGCCCCGGCUAACUACGUGCCAGCAGCCGCGGUAAUACGUAGGGGGCAAGCGUUAUCCGGAUUUACUGGGUGUAAAGGGAGCGUAGACGGCUUUGCAAGUCUGAAGUGAAAGCCCGGGGCUCAACCCCGGAACUGCUUUGGAAACUGUAGAGCUGGAGUGCAGGAGAGGUAAGUGGAAUUCCUAGUGUAGCGGUGAAAUGCGUAGGUAUUAGGAGGAACACCAGUGGCGAAGGCGGCUUACUGGACUGUAACUGACGUUGAGGCUCGAAGGCGUGGGGAGCAAACAGGAUUAGAUACCCUGGUA